rnacentral:rRNA from 1 species
GGACGCAUGUCAAGUAAAACCAAUUAUACGGGGAAACUGCGAAAUGGCUCACUUAAAUCACGUUAUCGUUCAUUUGAUAGUACCUUACUACUUGGAUAACCGGGGUAAUUCUAGAGCUAAUACAUGCUGAAAACCCCGACUCGCGGAGGGGGGUAUUUAUUAGAUUAAAAACCAAUGCCCUUCGGGGCUCCUUGGUGAUUCAUGAUAACUUCUCGAAUCGCAUGSCCUUGCGCCGGCGAUGGUUCAUUCAAAUUUCUGCCCUAUCAACUUUCGAUGGCAGGGUCUUGGCCUGCCAUGGUUACAACGGGUAACGGAGGGUUAGGGCUCGACCCCGGAGAAGGASCCUGAGAAACGSCUACUACAUCCAAGGAAGGCASCRGGCGCGCAAAUUACCCAAUCCCCGMCACGGGGAGGGUAGUGMCAAUAAAAUACURAUACAGGGCCCUUUKGGGUCUUGUAAUUGGAAUGAGUMCAAUUUAAAUCCCUUAACGAGGAMCAAUUGGAGGGCAAKUYUGGUSCCAGCASCCGCGGUAAUUCCAGCUCCAAUAGCGUAUAUUAAAGUUGUUGCAGUUAAAAAGCUYGUAGUUGAACCUUGGGCCUGGCUGGCCGGYCCGCCUCACCGCGUGCACUGGUUCGGCCGGSCCUUUCCCUSUGGGGASCCSCAUGCUCUUUACUGAGCGUGUCGGGGAACCAGGACUUUUACUGUGAAAAAAUUARAGUGUUCAAAGCAGGCAUUUGCUCGGAUMCAUUABCAUGGAAUAAUAGAAUAGRACGUGKGGUUCUAUUUUGUUGGUUUCUAGGWCCGCCGUAAUGAUUAAUAGGGACAGUCGGGGGCAUCAGUAUUCAWUUGUCAGAGGUGAAUUUCUUGGAUUUAUUGAAGACUAACUACUGCGAAAGCAUUUSCCARGGAUGUUUUCAUUAAUCAGGAMCGAAAGUUAGGGGAUSGAAGMCGAUCAGAUACCGUCGUAGUCUUACCCAUAAAUUAUGCCGAYUAGGGAUCGGCSGACGCUUUUUUWUGGCUCGUUCGGCACCUUACGAGAAAUCAAAAGUCUUUGGGUUCCUGGGGGAGUUAGCCCCC